UGAUGUGGGGUUAAGGGUUGGUGAGGUAUCCUUUUCUGCUCUUGUAGACCCAUUAUCCCAUGGCAACCAUUUUCUCUCAUGCCACAUGCUCCACAUCAGCCAUUUUGUGCUAUUCAGUUCCCCCAUGGCAGCCAUUUUGUGAUCUGUCUGGCCUGGUGCCCAUGGCAGUCAUUUGUAACUAAAAACUAGAACUUUUUCAAUACUCCUCUGGCUCAAAAAGGUUGGCAAUUCCUGGCACAUAUGAUUCCCUUACCAUCACUGUUAUGUAUUGGGUUUAACACUUUUUAUGUUACGAGGUGCGUUCUAACCAAUCGUAUAAGUGUUGAUAGACGAAUGUUCUAAUAGCAAGUAAGCGCACGCACUUUCAACUGUCAACUGUCAACUGUCAACUGUCAACUGUCAACGGUCAGUUCAUGUUGGGGCUUUUAUUGUGUAGUCCUGUGAGUUCGGGUUUUGUUUUCCUAUGAGUGAGCCAUUGUCACUGACAAUGUUGAAUAAACGUAGUUGAGGAACUUGUACUGCCUUGGGCUUCUGACUUUUUCCAAACAUUUAACAUUGGUGAUGAGGAUGGGAUGUAUGAGCUCCUGCCGGCUGCCAGAGGCCCAAGACCGCACCUCAGCACUGCCGCCUGCCACCUUGCAGUAAGCGCGACCUCACUGCCCCACUGGACUCAGCAAAUAGUCCUGGAAAAUAAACCGCGCCUGCCGCGUCUUCGCAACCACCCACAAUCGCACAAGUGACUGCUCCAGGUCUGAGGAUGGCCACCAGUCAUAGUCAGCCGCCACCAGACUUCACUAUGAGCUAUCCUGCAGAAUUGCCGCAGUGGCUCCGCCGAAUAAGGAGCUAUGUCCGACUACAAGGCUUCACUAGGGAGGCAGACAAGGUGGAAGUGCUACUGAUGGUGCUGGGAAGUUCCGCCAUCACUCUACUGGAAGGUCUGGUGGCACCCAGGGACAUAGAGGCAUGCACUUUCAAUGAGCUGACACUGGCUAUGACAAGACACCUUGCACCCCAGCCAACUAAGAACCACUGCCACUAUGACUUUGCGCACAGAGAACAACAAGCGCAAGAGUCAGCGAGUGAAUACAUCACAGUGCUCCAGGCGAUUGUGAUGUAUUCAAGAGAGCAACAGAAUUCAAGAGGGCAAAUUCAGAAGGAUCCCUCCCUGCCAAAAUCCUGUUGUUGUUUUUUAUUUGAUGGGGGAAUCUUCAACAGCAGCAACCCUAUUGUAAAUAAACUAUUGACUCUGUGCUAUGUGUAUGUCAGAUAUCACUUGUGCAGGAAAAUUGAAGGGCUGGAUGUAUAGUAAUUAAAUGUAUUAUAAAAAGCGGCAUUUUUUAUUUUUAAAAAUCACCCGUGCCAAGGAAUUCCACAUUUUCUAAUGUCAUUGCAAGCUAAAAUGACACAAUGCUCUUAAGUGUGCCUGUGUUUAUCAGGUUCCUGUUCCAAGUUUCCGACUUUAUUUUCUGGGAAAGGGCACUAUUUCAUAGAAAACACACCAGAGAAAGACAAAAUAAAAGUGAAGGCAGCAUAGUGUAUGUUGUCUUGCUUAUAAACAGAGGGGUAACUGUAAGUAUGCAGACUGCAGGUCAAAAGUCUGCCAGAAGUUGAUGAGAGCAGCAAUUUAUAUGGAAAAGGUCAGAGUGAAUUAAGAGACUAGCAAGUGAAUGAAAGUGGUAAUUAGUCAUUCAUAUUUAGCUUCUUAGUUACUUUGUUUUCCAAGACCAGAGCUCACUAUGUGGCCAGCUCAAGAUGUCAGCCUUCUUCACUGUAACCCUUUGAUAUUUUUGGUGUUCCCACAGCAACAGACAUUGGGCCAUUAUUGUUUUUUUCCAUCUGCUCACACAGUUUCCACUAAGCUUUGGAAUGGAAACCUAUGUCACCAUGUCUGUGAGAGAAGAAGCAUGCCUGCGUACAGCAUCUGAAAUGCUUGCACAAAGAAAGGAGCUCAGGAGGAAGCUGAGUCAGACCCUCACCAGGUAUAAACUGCUGGAACUCAUUUGAAUACUCAGAUGCUAAAUUUGCUUUCUAGCACAUUGGUUUGGUUCCUAUUCAAUGUGACGGCAAUGAAAUAUGGAAGCUAAAGACAAUACAAUACUAAAUGGAACAAGUUUUUCAAGAGCUUGCUUAGGUAUUGGCCAGAUCAUGAAGGGAUGCAGAUCAGUGCAUGCGUAGGUCUGGGAGAAACACUUAUCCAGAAUCAUGGAUAGUCGCUGCUUGGACCAGCUUCACCCAUAUGUUGUUGAACUCCAGAUCCAGAUCAUGAGGAAUGAUGGGAGCUGUAAUCCAAGAACAUUUGGAGGAUACCAGAGUGCUGUAGACAACAUUGAGCUUGUGGUCCUUCUGUACCAUUUCCCCUGAUUGUUGGAUUGGCUGGGCAUCUUUAGAGCUUGUUUUGUUCCUGAAUUGUAUACUUACUUACAUCUUGACAACUUACAACUUGAUCAGUCAGUAGAUCAUGAGAUUCUUAAUCUUAGGGCAUAUUGGGCAAAAGAUUCCUGCAUUAAAGGUAGUUGGACUUGAUGACCCUCAAGAUUUCUUCAGAUUCUACAGUUCUGUGAUUUUAUUAUUCCCUCUCUUCACUGCAACAUGCAAGAAAUAAAGACCAGGAAGCUGAUGCCCAGAAGUCCAUGGCUGAAACGAUAGCUCCAAGGUAGUUGCUAGUUUCUUCAGGAUUCUGAAGGGGAAAAGUACACCCAGUGCAGGCCAGCUAAUUGGGUAUGCCCACAUUAUGAAUAGCUUAGAAGUAGACAACUUGCCAACUGAGAAGAGUUAGAACCAAUCAGCAACUCUCCCCUCUUCUGUUUCCCCACUGAGCUCAGACUGCUCCAGAGACAGCUAAUGAGUGCUUCACACAGUCCCAGGAAGAUAGUUCCCUAACACCAGAGGCAUUUUCAGGGAAUAAUGUUGAAAUACGAGAUGAGCCAAAGGCAAUUUAUUGUGGUCCGAGGCCGUUGCAAUCCUUUCGUUGAGCAUGCUUAUUUUACACAAAGGCAGUUAAUAUGGAAACUGGCCCAUGGCCAAAAAGGAACAAGAAUCAGAAAUAGACUUUCUGGUCCAACAACAUGUUUAUGUUUGGGGAUUUGGGGUUUUUUUUGGUGGGGUGGUUUCAGAUGCUGUGAAUCCCUUGAAGUCAUUCUAAGGUAGGAGGAUGUCAAAGACUGUUGUGAAGAUGACUAUUAGAGUUAGGAGCUAACAGUCAUUCACAAUGCAUACAGUGAUUUUUCAAUUAGGGCAUUUGUUAUGGGCGGGGGGAGGCAGAAGGUGAGAAGGCAGAAGAGUUGGGUUUAUUUGAGGGCAAGGGGGUUGGAAGGAAGGCUAUUGACAGUGUUUGUUUGUUUUUACACUACCCUUUCUACACAAUUGUAGCACAGAAUUCUCAGGCUGAAUUGUCUCCUGAAAAGUAAUGACACCAUGCCAAAUAGUUCAGAGCAGCUGAAACCAUAUUUUGUGUGAUCAACCUUCUGCAGGAACAGACUGCCAAAACAGCUAGCAGCAGGCAUGCAAGCAAUGCUGUGGUUGUUUCACACAAUAAUCAGAUCUGAUCCACUCAAACAUGCUUUAAUUUCAGAGAGCAACUGUUGUAGCACUGUGGCAAGUCAGAUGGUUCACAUCAGCACAAAAUCAGCAUUGCCAUUGCUAACUUCAUUCCCAUGGUUUAGAUUUGGACCUGGUUCUGCCAUCGCUGCCAAUAUGUUUAAUACCUGCCAGAACCACCACUGAUGCACUGACAUCCAGGCUGGUGGAACCUCUGUGAUGUGGUUGCAGAAAGUGCUAUAUGCUGCUGAGUCCUUUGAUUGGGAUGCGAAUGAGAUUCUAGAGAAAGUCACUCAAAUAUAUGCAAUCUCCUUUGAAAGAGACACAUAUGCACCAGGAGUGUAUAUGGACAAAGUGAUGGGGGAAGUGCAUAUGUCUAUUAGAACACAGAAAACUGCCUUAUACUGAGUCAAACCACUGGUCCAUCUCACUUAGCAUUAUAAACAGUGGCUCUACAGAAUCUGAGACAGGAAUAUUUUACAUCCCUCUACUGAAGAUAUUAAUGAGUGGGAAGGUACAUACAAGCAGCAAUACAAGUAUCUUGGUCCAGAGCCAUAAAGGGUUUUGCAUUGGGCUCAGAAAUGAACUCAAAACCAGUGCAACUGGUAUAAUAUGAUAAUAGCACCCGGGCAGUAAUCUAGCUAUCAUGUUCUGAACUACAGUUUAUUGUACCAGCUUCAAAGACAGCCACACAUAGAGUGAAUUAUAGCAAUCUGUCAUGGACUGGAUGGGUGCAGAGUAAUGGUGAGAGGAACCAUCUGGGGAACCCCCAAGGGAAGAAGGCUCAGAGCCAGGGCACUGGUGGUGGAACAACGACGAGUGGUCAGAGGGAGAUGAGGGAGCAAACUGGGAGGUGGAGGAGGUGUUGGAAGCUGAAGCGGUAACAGGGUUUGAUGAGCAGGAAGAGUCUGUGGCAGAGAGCAGUCCAGAUCAGAGGCAGAAGCCGAAGCAGAAGAGGAGGGAUGCUAAAAGGCAGAGAUGAGUCCGGCUGGUGAAGAGGCACAGGUGUCGCCCCCUCCUGCUGUGACAAGCUCCCCUCCCUGCUGGUCUCCCAGAACCAGAAGAGACAUGAAGCUGGGGGAGCAAAGACUGACAUGCAGGUGUAGUCUCAGAUUGCUUGGGGGCAAACCCUGAAGAGGAGGGGACUUAGAAAGCUGUGAGGAGGUGAGGACCUUCAGUCUCCACAACUGCUUCAUAGGGGCAAGAGCUACUGAAGAAGAGUUGCUGUGUUUGUUAGGCAUGACACUCCUGUGCAGAUCCUAUUUUCUUUUUUUUCUAAUAAAGAGUUAACUCCACUUUCGUUGUGUGAUUCACUGCUGGCUCGCUCGCUCCUGGCACAAUCUAACCUGGAGGUUAUCAGAGCAUGGAUCACUGAGGGAUGGAAGUCUCUGCCCAGGGAGUAUUGCAGAUGGCACACCAGCAUAGACUGUUAAAGGGUAUUCCAUAUCACAAAAGCAAAAUGUGCCUCCGGUGUCAAAGAUGGAUCAUGGAGCACCUUCAAGGGCCAACCUGUUGCUUUAGGGAAACUGUGGCACCUUCUGAUAGAGGAUGAACACACUCCUUGGGGAAAACAAACCAACGUCCCAUAGUACCACCUUCUUUCUUUUUUAAAAAUUGAGGUUCAUUUUAUUUGCCUCCAGCCCACCAGUUACUGCAGUUAGGCACUGAUUUAGCACUUUCAAUAUUUCAUCAGAAUAUGAUUUUUGGGGUUGUUGUGUUUGUUUUUUUCUAGGUCUUUUUUCCUUUUAUUGCAUUUUGAUAUUUUUAUUGUAAUUCACCAUGCUGCUAAUUUAUGAAAGGUGGUAUAAAAUAAAGGAUGCCCAUAUAAACAUACACACAAGUAAAUGUGGGCUUUCCUAAAGUUGGGCCUCGGUGUCCUGCUGUGAGAAGGCUAAAUUAGUCCCUGUCCCUGCUUUUGUAUAUGUAACAUGAGGUCCUGGAAGUCUUUACGUUGUCUCUGUUUUCCAAUUGGAACAUUCCUGUCAUUUUGCAUCAUUCCUGGAUCAUGUUUUCCAUUAAUAUAAAUUAACAUAGCAACACACUGGCUUCAAAACUGGCUUUCCCCGGCUGAACAUCUGUUUCCUUAUGCACAAUUCAUUUUUGUCUUCAGGAACCUGGUAAGAGAAAUGCCACAAGAUUUCUAAUCUUAAACAAAUCCAGGCAAUAGAUUUUUAUACCCACCUAAAAGCUUGCCUCUCAACCCUCUCAGUAUGCAGAAAUGCAUUCAAGUGCUUAUUUCAGAAUGUAUGCCUAUAUUGUCUCAGGCCUAUCUAAUGUGUGAAGUUGGGAAGACUUCUCCUUCCCAGCAAGCCUGAAGUUCUUGUAGUUUAGAAAGCAGCUUUGCUUGGAAGAGAUGCACAUUUUUUAUUUUCUCUGCUCAGAGGCGGUUUUAUGGUAGUGCGACCGAUUAUAAUAAAUAAUAAUAAUUUAUUAUUUAUACCCUGCCUAUCUGGUUGGGUUUCCCCAGCCACUCUGGGCGGCUCCCAACAGAAUAUUAAAAACUUGGUAAAACACCGAACAUUAAAAACUUUCCUAAACAGGGCUGCCUUCAGAUGUCUUCUAAAAGUCAUCUGAUGGGAGGGCGUUCCACAGGGCAGGUGCCACUACUGCAGCUGGCUCCUACUCAUGAUGGCUGUACCCUACUAACCCAAUAUGUGUGAAACAAGACAUUGAGAUAAUCGGAUCACUGGAUCAUCACACUUUUCCACACAACUUGUUACAAAUUGAAAGGCAGUCUCCUAAAGUGGGGAGCUUAUCUACUUCUGAAGGCUCCCUGCAUUAUUUCUUUAAAAAGUUAGAAGAGGAAUCCAUUGGAUUUGAACUAAGGUGCUGGGUAGGGUUUUAUAAUCCACUCCCUGCUGUUAUUUUUGCAGUAAAAAAAAACCCCACCAGAAGCUAUUUUCUCCAUAAGGGAAAGGUUCCAAGUAGUAUAGGAGAAGAAAAAACCUUUGCUUUGAACAACACUAUAUGGAUUCCUUAACAAAAAAACCAGUAUAGAUAAAUAAGCACCUUUUAAAGGUGAUUUCGAUUGGGGAAAUAGCAUAGGGUGAAGAGGCUGCGAAACCAAAGGAAAGUGUGGCUAUAUGGAGGUUAAGUUGUAAUUAAGCAAUCACAAUAUGACGUGAGAAGAAGUAUCCUACUUAUACUGCAGGAAGGAAAUUAAAUCCGGCAUUUUAACUUGCUAUUUCUAUGUUUUUGGGUGCAGGAGUGAAUUUGCAAGCACCUUAAUUGCUAGAGAAUUUUAGAAUUGUAUUACAUCUGUUUCUUUAGCUGUAAGGUAAAGGGACCCCUGACCGUUAGGUCCAGUCGCGACCGACUCUGGGGUUGCGGCGCUCAUCUCACUUUAUUGGCCGAGGGAGCCGGCGUACAGCUUCCGGGUCAUGUGGCCAGCAUGACUAAGCCGCUUCUGGCGAACCAGAGCAGCGCAUGGAAAUGCCGUUUACCUUCCUGCCGGAGCGGUACCUAUUUAUCUACUUGCACUUUGACGUGCUUUCGAACUGCUAGGUGGGCAGGAGCAGGGACCGAGCAAUGGAAGCUCACCCCAUCGCAGAGAUUUGAACUGCCGACCUUCUGAUCAGCAAGCCCUAGGCUCAGUGGUUUAACCUACAGUGCCACCCACGUCCCCACAGCGUCACCCGUGUCUUUAGCUGUAGAGAUACCUAUAAUUGCUAGGCCCAGGUGCUAAUAUCUAUAACUUGGCACUUAGCAAUGGAAUAUUAUGGAAAGCCCCAGUUUAAGCUGGGGAAGGAAACCAACGGACUCUAGCCUUUGUUUUGGGUCCAGAUACUUGUGUUUAGUUUCCUGUUUAGUUGCUUGGUUAUAGAUAUGUGGUACAAAGGCAGCACUUCUCCUUAUAAUUAAAAAGAGAGCUCAUAUAAAUAAUACGCUGGGAGAGAAGCCUAAGAAGGUGUUACAAGAGAUUUACUAUGGAAGAGAGUUCUAAUGAUCCAUCCCAAGCUAAAUCCUUGUCCUCUGAGUGCACGUAACUCCCAUUAGCAUUCCUGGGAACUUUGCCAAUGCACCAGGAAAAAAUGGAAUAAACAGUGCUGUUUGCACUUGAAAAUAGUGUUGCUUAGAGAGUGCGGCAUAAUCCUUUAAAACAGCUGGAGCACGUGUGCAAUCGAUCUCCCUACCACCAUGACACUCUUUGUUUAUGCUGAACAUCAGGCUUUCCUUGUCAGCCCGCCAGGGUUGGACCAGACCUCUUUGAGCAGAUACUCAGAGCUAAAGUAGUCAAAUAUGCAUGUGAAGCACAGCAGAUCUCAACUUAUUGUUGGCUAUACAGAUAUUUGACUGCUGCCAUUUGCCACAGUUGUGCUUCAAGGAAUGUCAAAACCCAAAUUCUGCAUGACUUUCAUUUGUUUCAUGGAACAAAGUCCAGUGGCCUUUCCAUCAAGAAAUUGCCAGCCUUGGCAGCUUGAACUAGGGCGCACAAUCCAAACGAUAUAAGAAACACUGGUAGGGCAGAUCUAUCUUUACUAGAUAGGUAAAGAGGUAAAGUAGUGCCUUCCACUUGUUGUAGACUACAACCCCAGCCAGCAGGGUCCACAACAUCUGGAGGGCAGCAGAUUGCAGGCUCUGGUAUAGAAUAAUCUCAAGGCACGUUUAUGAGUAUUUAACCAAUAAGGUUUAUUAAAUCAGAGCAUUAUGCAGCCACGUUUCUACAUCUUACAUGCAGGUUUUUAUUUCAGGGACAAAUUUGCAGAGAAGAUCUUCUAAGAAAGAGUUGUCAGCCUGACACUAAACUCACUUCUGCUCCUAGAUGCUUCUUGCAGAAGCAAUAUGCUUUCGUAUUGACAGCACAACAUUUUUCAUGUGAAUAUUCCUCUCUGCUGGGAGAAACAAAAUUUACAUCAGAAUCAACAUAUUUUAAUUUUCGUUAAAAGGGGGUUUCCCCUGAGAUAAUCCAAAACGAUGGUGCACUAUGUUAUCCAGAAGUCCAUAAGAUUCUUCUGCCUGAUUUAUGUUGGGAGGGCCAAAUUCCUCUUAAUGCCAUGGGAUGUUUCUGUGCUUUGCACCUCCAGAAUUGACAUGGGAAGCUUUUCACCUUAUUACAACACUGAUACAGCAAAGAUAGCGUAGCUGCCUGAGAUGGGAGAGGCAAAGCAGGCGAGGCGGUACCUUUUCCUGGAGCAAGAAUGUGCAAGUUCCAAGGAGGUCAUCUUCAAACAGAAAAAGAAGUUGGGUGCAGGGAGAGUAAGCAGGUUUAGACUGCAAUGAGGAGUAAGCCUUGUUGUAUACAAUGGGCCUCACUUCGGAAUAUACAUGCCUUAGGACUGAGUGGUCAGGAAGCAAUGGAGUGUUCGAACAAAUGGCUGAAAUUCUGGACCGCCAUUGCAGUCCCAAAGAAGUCAUAGGCUGGGCACACAUGACAAUGGCAUCUUUCCUCCAGAGAGGUCAAGGUGGCAUACAUGGUUCUCUCCCCACCCCCAUUUUAUCAUCACAACAACCCUGUGAGGUAGGUUGGGCUGGUCACCCAGUGAACCUCAUGACUGAAUGGGAACUCAGUGUACAGUGGUGCCCCGCAAGACGAAUGCCUCGCAAGACGGAAAAACCUCUAGACGAAAGGGUUUUCCGUUUUGAAGUUGCUUCGCAGGACGAAUUCCCCUAUGGGCUUGCUUCGCAAGACGAAAAUACCUUGCGAGUCUUGAGAUUUUUUUUUUCGCUUCCCCCCCCCUUUAUCUAAUCUGCUAAGCCUUUAAUAGCCUUUAAUAGCCUUUUAGCAGCUAAUCCCCUAAGCCUUUAAGCCUUUAAUAGCCGCUAAACCGCUAAUAGCGCUAAUAGCGCUAAUCCGUCAAUGGGCUUGCUUCGCAAGACGAAAAAACCGCUAGACGAAGACUCUCGCGGAACGGAUUAAUUUCGUCUUGCGAGGCACCACUGUAUUCAUUCAACACGUCCAGCAACUCAUCCAAGCUAAAUUCACACACUCCACAUGGUGUGCUGACUUACACCAAAUGAGAAUUUAUGCCACAGAAAAAGACCACUUGACAGUUUAUAGUCAAUGAGGAAGAUACUGAUUUAGAGGACAGCUUCCAAAUGCCUUAAGAAAAACCUAAUAAAAAAUGCUGUGUCUCCUAAUCCGUGUCUACUCAUUUUUUGGGAGUUGAGAAGAUCCAAAGCCAAACCUCCCAGCUGCAGUAACUGUGAGAAGACAGGCCGGAGCUCAUGGUCUUCCAUCUGAGAGAUGUAUGGACAUGUUUUCUUUAAUUCUAGGGCGCAGCGUCAGCAGGCCUGAAAAAAAGAACAGCUGGAAAGACACAUCAUGCUAGCAGCUGAAAAUAAAAUGCCAUUUCAGCUGUCUGAACGUAGCCCAGUAGCAAUGAAGUUGUGUUAUAACUGUCUUCAUCAGCUAACCCCAUUCGUAACCCACACCAUCCCUACCUGGGCAAAUGGGUGCAGUAUUCUGUUCCAACAGCAAGCACUGACUCAUAAAAAGUUGCUGUCCAAGAUCUGAAAUGGGUUUUUCUACCAAGUGGGCAAAGGCAAUGGUUAGGAAAAUGCAGGCUACAUCUGGAUAAUUUGGCUUCUUUUCUUUUCUUUCAAGAAACAGAACCCCGGAAGCCAUUUGCUAUGGCAGCACUACAGUUUUUCUGUUGGUAUCUUGUAAAUAAUAUUUGGCAAAACAAGUGGAACCAUUCUUUACUGCUACAUGCAUGUUAUUAUUUCCUCCCUCCGGGAUGGAAAAAUUAUGGCACAACACGCGAUCAACUUCUUGCUUUCCUUAAUUGCACAAGUAGAUGUAGUAUGAACCUGGAGACCAAAAUUACUAAUCAGUGUCACUUCAACUGGAAACUUAAUAGCAUUCUGAUUGCAUACUUCACAAAUUCCUUAUUGUUUUACACACACCUAUGAUGGUCUGGAACACAGCAUUCAGCAAAGGCAGAGGACAGCCAUCUUCUGUAUAUUCAAGCAGCAUCUAAUUAGUCAUUUCUUCGGGAACACACAAUGCUAGUUAUGAUGAAAGAAUCACAAAACAUGGUCUUAAACUGUUUUAUGUAAUCAGUUUUUUUUGUUUUUUUGUUUGUUUGUUGUUUGCCUGUAGCCUCAACCAAAAUUUCUUUGCCCCCCCAGCCUGAAAUGGCAUCUCAGAUUAGAGCAUGAAAUCUGAUGAAGUCUAGCCAAGACGGCAAGCUCUGUAGGGGGAGAACUACAAAACACAGACCCCAAGAAGCUGAUGACACAUCCAUGAAGUGGUAAUGACAGCGAGACAUGAUACUCUGUUGUAAUUGCUGCAAAAUAUUUAGGAAGCCCGAGCAGCAUUUACACGGAGUUGAAAGGUCAAAGGUCAACACGCGUGAGAGCGCACAUAGAUCCCACUGGACUAACACAUUGCUAUAGCAUAAACCAUUCCAGAUGUCCAGAAGAACCUCCGGCGGAUAUUCAUUUGUGUCUGGGAUCUAUACAGCUGAAUUCCUUGAUAACAUCUGCCCAUUGGUGGUCCAGGAAGACUAUUUCCUAUAAAAACAAAGAAAUAAGAGGCAAGACCUAGACUUUUACAGGUCAUUUCAUGGCUAUCUUUGACAGUCUGCACAACUAGAAAAACAAAGGCAUGACUCGGCAUGCUUAAAAGCACAAAUGGGGCGGAAGAUUAUGAUCUAAUUAUGAUCUAAAACACCACUAUGUUUGUUUACUUUCUUUCCAGUAAAGAAGUUCAUGAAGCAAACCAUGCACAGUCUAAUAUGAAACUGAGAAAAAUCCGAAAUGAUUAUAGAUAAUAGCUGUGUUCAGGAUUACCUUUCAGUGUUCAGCAAACAAGUGAGGGGCAAGAAGUGGGAAUGGAUGUGCUCCCUCCCUCCCACUCAUCAUCAUUUCUUCAUCCUCCCUCUCAGCGAAGGCAACUUUCUGAAGCCAGGAGCCUCCUAGACCUUGGGAAAACAGGGUUCAACUAAAAGGUGUGGGGUACCUUCAUUAGUUAAGAGUGCUUCCAUUUCUGCAAUGGUUUCCCUCCAUUAGUUGGAGAGCAACAGAAAGCAUAAUUGAAGGGGUCGAAGGAGACUGGGAAUGGAGGAUGAGAGGGCAAGGGGUCAAGGCCUGACAUUUCUUAUUCAACAUUCAGCUCUCAGUGGGAAUGAAGAGCUGAGACAGUACUGCCUCCAAACCCCCAGCUUUCUUAAUGCACUGUGCCAAGCUAAUCUAAGUGAGGAUAGCUUUUGCAUAUCCGAUAAGUUGAAGGUGAUUUCAUGCAGUGAUAUUUAUUACAAGGGCAUGCAAAAUGGGUGUUCUAGCUAUGGAUAUCCUUUUUCAAGCAAAGGGUUGGAUUUAGAUGAGCUACAAGGCCUUCUCCAACUCUGUGAGACGAUAAAAGAUUCAUGGUUGUGUCCAAAAGCUUCACCCCACACCUCCUGUCCUUCUCUUUCAUUGGAAAGAUGUGGUAGAACAAAAUACGUCAGAUCUGAUGUCAUAUUACAUCCUUUGUUUGAAUGCAUAUUAUGAGGAGAUAAGAAGAAGAGACACAAGACUGUGGCUUUUGGUGGCAGCCACACAGUUCUAGCAAAACCAGGUCUUUGCAUCCAGAAAUCAUCACUAAUCUUCAGUUAGAAAGUGAUUUGAUUGCAUCACUCUGUUCAAUGAGUAGGAUAGCAUAUGAGGCAGAUUCUUGUUCAUUUAACUUUCUUUUUUUUAAAAAAAGGUUUUUUAGCAGCUAAUAGUGGAGAAGUUAGAGGUUAGCCCUUUUGAAAUAACAGUGUAUAAGGAUAGAAGGUCAAGCAGUACAAAAUACAGCUUCAGUGAAUCUAACAAAGUCACUACUGAGAAUCUGAUAUUUUUAAGUAGUCUCCCAGCUGGAAAACUGCAUAUAAACCUAGCACUUAAGGAGUUAUUUGGGGGGUACAAAAUGAGACUCCUAACUUGAUUGGAUUAUCAUAAAAAUUUUCUCUCAUCUCUAACAGC